rnacentral:rRNA from 1 species
UACAGAGGGUGCGAGCGUUGUCCGGAAUCACUGGGCGUAAAGGGCGCGUAGGUGGUGGCUUAAGCGUGCGGUGAAAGCUCGGGGCUCAACCCCGAGUCGGCCGUGCGAACUGGGCUCACUGGAGCAUAGUAGAGGCAGGUGGAAUUCCGGGUGUAGCGGUGGAAUGCGUAGAGAUCCGGAAGAACACCGGUGGCGAAGGCGGCCUGCUGGGGCUAUGGCUGACACUGAGGCGCGACAGCGUGGGGAGCAAACAGGG